rnacentral:sRNA from 1 species
GCUUGGCCUUGCAGGUCUGACUUGGGGAUUUUCAGGUUGUUUAAGAACAUCAUGUACCUUUGGGUAACUUCAAGUGGUCUUGGAAUGCAGAUUCCAAAGUAAGAUCAGCAUUGAAGAAUCUUGACCUUUUCAAACAGCCAUGCAAGAAGAAAAUGCUGUGGAAGGGAAGAAAAAAAUUAUAUUUCCUCCCCAAAGUUGGAGAGAGAAGGGAACAUACAGUAUGUAAGAAACAGAAAAGCACUGAAAGUUGAAUAUGUGUAAGUCUCCGGGAAUGUAACAAGUUGAUAAAUACCCAAGUCCAGCCUCCUUACAGAGAAAAGAUCUGGAAUUUCUUUUUUUGGACAUUUGUUUUGCAGCUUUCUACGUCUUAAGGCAGAGAAUAGCCAGGAUAAGGUGCCAGCUCAAAGCUGUGUGCCAACCACGAUGCAAACAUGGUGAAUGUAUCGGGCCAAACAAGUGCAAGUGUCAUCCUGGUUAUGCUGGAAAAACCUGUAAUCAAGAUCUAAAUGAGUGUGGCCUGAAGCCCCGGCCCUGUAAGCACAGAUGCAUGAACACUUACGGCAGCUACAAGUGCUACUGUCUCAACGGAUAUAUGCUCAUGCCGGAUGGUUCCUGCUCAAGUGCCCUGACCUGC